rnacentral:rRNA from 1 species
GUGAGGAAUAUUGCGCAAUGGAGGCAACUCUGACGCAGCCAUGCCGCGUGCAGGAAGAAGGCGCUACGCGUUGUAAACUGCUUUUAACCGGGAAGAAACCCCAGGACGUGUCCUGGGUUGACGGUACCGGAGGAAUAAGCACCGGCUAACUUCGUGCCAGCAGCCGCGGUAAUACGAAGGGUGCAAGCGUUAUCCGGAUUCAUUGGGUUUAAAGGGUGCGUAGGCGGAGCGUUAAGUCAGUGGUGAAAUCCUGCAGCUUAACUGUAGACUUGCCAUUGAUACUGGCGCUCUUGAGUGCGCUUGAAGUGGGCGGAAUGUGCCGUGUAGCGGUGAAAUGCUUAGAUAUGGCACAGAACACCAAUUGCGAAGGCAGCUCACUAAGGCGAUACUGACGCUGAGGCACGAAAGCGUGGGGAUCGAACAGGAUUAGAUACCCUAGUAGUCC